UACGUAGGGUGCAAGCGUUCAUCGGAAUUACUGGGCGUAAAGCGUGCGCAGGCGGUUAUGCAAGACAGAUGUGAAAUCCCCGGGCUCAACCUGGGAACUGCAUUUGUGACUGCAUGGCUAGAGUACGGUAGAGGGGGAUGGAAUUCCGCGUGUAGCAGUGAAAUGCGUAGAUAUGCGGAGGAACACCGAUGGCGAAGGCAAUCCCCUGGACCUGUACUGACGCUCAUGCACGAAAGCGUGGGGAGCAAACAGG
rnacentral:rRNA from 1 species